CAAGGAAGCCGCAAGAGCUCCUACAAACCCUGUGAACUUACUACACGUUGCUUCGGCGGGGUGUCUCCGGCGAGGGGACCUCAGCCCCCGCCCUCAGGGGCGCUAAGGGCCCGCCGGCAGCCGGAGGUACGAUAACUCUGUCUCUUGUAGUUGGCAUCUCUGAGUAUAAAAUCAAAUAAGUUA
rnacentral:misc_RNA from 1 species